rnacentral:Y_RNA from 1 species
GGUUGGUCUGAGUGCAGUGGUGUUUACAACUAAUUGAUCACAACCAGUUACAGAUUCCUUUGUUCCUUCUCCACUCCCACUGAGUCACUUGACCAGCCUUAA